AAGCGGGAUGCAUUUUAGGCAGACUUGGAACUCUGAAACUCAUGGAGACUUUGAGGAUUAUAAAAAAUAUGUAGUGUGUCUCUCCACAAGACAACUUUCCAGCCCAAAGUCACUGGGAUAGCAGGAUAUUGCAUUUGUGAUCCUCCUCGGCCCUUCGCAUGGGGAGUGUGGGAGUGGUGAGGUCUGGGAGAUCACGACCUUAAUUCUCUCCAAGACAGACGGUUUAAUUAACACUGGAGGAAUCCUCACUGGCUCCAGACCUCUACAAUGGGAAUGUGCACGGGAAUUGGAUUGCCAAGCUACAUUCUUUCCAACCCCCACAACCCAUGGCUGUGCAGCUAUACCCACUGAUGAAGCAACAAUGCAGACAGAACUUUAGGUAUGAUGUCUUAACGUUUUUAUGGUUAUGGAUGGAGCGUUAUAAAUAGUUAAUCUAGGUUUAUUUUUAUUUUUAUAUGUAGUAGUUACGCUAG
rnacentral:lncRNA from 1 species